GUUAUCCCCCAAUCAGUGAAGCUUGACUUUACCAGUAAUUUGGUGGCCUGAUACUAUAUGUUUCCUGAUGCAAUGCAGUGAGAAGUAUGCACAUCGCCUAUAAAGUGUUCUUGCUUGAAAUGUUGAACCAAAUCUAAUCAUGAUGAAACAAGUUAAUCCAAGAUGUUGGGCAUUCUGCAUGAUGGUUAUCCUGGACUUCCCAAAGGAUUUGAAGUCAUCAAAAAACAGAGGAGACAAUGUUCAAAGAUUGAGAACUACUAAAGAUAUACAAUAGCUACGCUGUGAUUAAAAUUUCAUUGGAAAUUAAAUCAGAAAAAAAUAGAUAAUAUUUUAGGACAAUUUGAGUACGUUUGCAAAUGCUCUUAUUGAAUUAAUGAUUAUUUUCUUAGGUGUGGUAAUGGUGUUGUGAAAGAGAAGACUCGUACUCUUGAAAGGAGUGCCAAAGAAGUAUUAAGAGGUGAAAUUUCAUGACAUUGGUAGACCAUUUUCAGAAGGUUGGGCCAAAAGAAAGAACGUACCCACAGAGACAUGUUGUUGACAAAUAUUCACUGCACCAUUCCUUCAACUUUUUGGAAUACAACUUUGGUCAUUGUCCCCAGCAAAAGUGGCACUACCCUGGCCUGAGCAGAGGCUAGACCCACCUAGCAAUGUACUGCAGCCUUGUGGCUCUUUCCAAGACAACCACUCUGGAAGACACGGAGUCUAGGUGCUGCCAUGGAGAAGCAAUUAUUUUUCUUCAGUGCUCAUGGGAGAUCAGAGUUCCGAUCCCUCUUUGCAGUGGGUUUGGCUGUGCCUCUCACACUGAAAGCACACCAGCCCUGGUCCUCCCAUUGAUUCAUAAGUACAACACACCACUUCCAGGAUACAGAGCCAUGGUGGAAUGUUCACUGGAGUGAGGCAGCGUAUGGAGCAUGCAGAGCAUGCAGACCCAGGUAAGAUGUACAGGAGGCCGGGAUCACCUGCAAUGACUGUAACCUCAGGCAAAUCUCACAACCUUUCAUAGCCACAGAUUUCACAUGUAUGCUCUGGCAACAUUACCUCAAACCCACACUGUGUGGAUUAUGUGGAUAACUCUCUAAACUAUACAAGUUACACAACGUUUGUUAUUUUGGUGUAUUUUAAUUUAAGGAACAGUGUUUAGCACAUUGAGAUGGUCUUCUGAUCUAUUUUAAGAAAAGGUCAGCUAACAUGAGAUAUAAGAAGAGUAUUAUUCUGAGGUUACCAUUAAGCUAUAAGUCGAAAGAUAAAAUUUUGGUGUCAAAAAAAUUGUUUGAAAAUUUUACCUGUCAAAAAAUAAUUUGUGAUUAAAUAUGCAAAAUUAUCUACAUUAUGCAAAACCAAAAGAUAUGCACAUUUUAAUUUCACAGAAACUCAAAGCACAUUUAUUUUACUUAGGUCACUGUUCGAUAGGAGACCAUAACCUGUACCCCUCCGCCAGGGGUGAUAUAUUAUCUGGCUCAGCCAUGAGUCUGGAGUUGGGCCCCACCAGAAACAGCCUAAGCUAUUCGACCUAAAAGCUAUGUAACUUUGAAGCAGUUUGAAAAGCAGUUACUUUUCAACUUGGUGUCUAUUUCUUUAUCUGCCCAAUAGGGAUAAAAAUCAUUUUUUUGUUCAUCUGGUGACUGAUUUUUAUUAAGAACUAACAUCCUCGGCCCAAGGACUACCCCCAGCUCCAGAACUCUCCAUAGGAAUAGCCAAGACUUUUAUUGCAAAAUUGUAAUUCAACUUCUUCUCUGCCUAAUCUUGUAUUCUUUACCCCUCAAAGAUAUUGCUGCCAAGAGCCCUUCCCGACACACCCACUGUACACAAAUCUCAGUGUAUCAGAGUCUGAUUCCUGGGAACCUAAACUAUGACACCCCUUUUCAGGAAAAAAUGGACAAAAUAUCUAUGUCAAAGAGGCUUGUAAUGCUAAACAUAUUUUCUAGAGGUUAUCCAAAUCUGGUUAAACAAGAAAACCUUGGUGGUCUAGAGUCUAACUUCUUCAACACCUUCUGUUCUGGAACCUUAAUUAAAGCAACUUAACUCAAGAGGGUAUGAGAGAGUUUGCCUUUAAUUGGUGGUCCUCACUCCCAGAAGCACCUCCAAGCAUUUACUCUUUUCUAUAGAUUGGCCUCCCUUUCCCGUGUCAGUUAUUUUUGCUUUCCCUUCCAAAUAUGCAGACCACCCAUGUAAUGAGAUCUUGGUGUAUCCUCACCUGCAAGCACAGAUUACAUGCCUGGCUCUGGCAACCCAUGUUCUGACUUUACUUCUCGUUCAAGCUCUGUAUGCUGUAGUCAACCCUAUUUCCUCACUGCCUUGAUCGUCAAUAAGGAUCAGACAGCAGUACAUCAGAAAGAAUGGGAGAACUUCAAGAAAGACCUAAACUGGCUCAAAGAACAAGUGCCUCAAACCCAAAGGAUGAGCUCAUUUUUCAAAAAGAGAUCCAAAGAACUCCUGAGUGGCAUAUAAAACCCUAUUUCGAGAAAUGGAGUCUUUCAGACGGUAUUUAGCUCAGGACAUUAUCUCCUCCCAUUUUAUAACUAUUUCUUUUUUUGUUUGUUUGUUUAUUGCCUCUGGAACUGGUUCUAGCAGGCAUCCAAGAAAACUGUGGGAACAUCUCAAAGCUGUUGCUAGUUAUUCACCUUCACCACUGCUUCUACAUUUCUAUGACUCUAAGAGCCUCAGUCAAUUAGGUAAUAGUGGAUGGUGACCUUCUAGUCACCUUUUGCCACAACUGCUGUGUUAUGGCCCCAGCACUGGUUUUCCAAAUAAAGGUGAAGGUAAAGGUAUAAAGAAGUGUUUCCUUGAGAGUGCUCAACUUGGCUGAAUAGGAUCUUAGAAGCCCACAGGUCAGAGACUGAGUUCUUAAAUUGUAGAUUUCAGUAACAGCACAGAGAAAACGUUACUGCUUCAUCUUGUUUUUAAAAGGGCUCAGAAUGUGUAAAUUUUUAAAUAAACACUGCUGUGCUAUGAUUCUCAUUUUUGAAGUGCCUUUCAGAGAACUGCUUAUUUUUUCUUCUGUUCUUGCCACACCAAAAGGGAGCUGUGCUGUUGAACUCACUUCAUGCUUGAGACAGAUCCAUCCAAGAAGCAAUACUUGAAUCAUGUAAAGAUGGCUAUAAAUGUUAUAUUGUAUGUUUUCCCUCAUGACUUUAAAGAAAUUCCAAUGUUUCUAGCUUGGUUGUUUGGAUUCCCCCCCCCUCCAGAUUUGAGUGAAUUAGCUCCAUUUCUUUCGCUCUCCCUCAACAAAUGCCUUAGGAGGUCAAGAUUUUUAAUUAUUUCUAGUCAAUAACAAAAGAAACCUAAGUGUACUUAAGGGAACAAGAUAUUUAUUUUUAUGUUGUAUACAUAUCUGUCUCCUCUUCAAUUAAGUAAAUAUUUUUGCCUCUUUCUGUGGAUUAUUGUCCUAAUUUUUCAGUGAUACAUGACAUUAAGUCAUGGAGCAAAAAACAAAUGCUUAAGUGUAGUUGGAAUAUGACCAGGGAGUCAUUAUUACUGUGUGCUGAAAUCCCCUCAUGAUCAAGAAUCAAAACUGACAUAUGAUGAAUUGAGCUAAAGGGUUGACAAGAUGAAUUUUUACAGUGAUGGGUUUAAACUGAAUCUGGCGCUCCUGACUUUAGAAUAAACCUAACUGAAAAUGCUUUUUGUUUUGAGACAGGGCCUCACUGCAUUGCCCAGGCUGGACUUGAACUCCCAGACUCAAGUGCUCCUCCCACCUCAUGCUUCCAAGAAUAUGGGACCACAGGCAUGUGCUACCU